rnacentral:rRNA from 1 species
GAUGAACGCUGGCGGCGUGCCUAAUACAUGCAAGUCGAGCGAACAGACGAGGAGCUUGCUCCUCUGACGUUAGCGGCGGACGGGUGAGUAACACGUGGAUAACCUACCUAUAAGACUGGGAUAACUUCGGGAAACCGGAGCUAAUACCGGAUAAUAUAUUGCACCGCAUGGUUCAAUAGUGAAAGACGGUUUUGCUGUCACUUAUAGAUGGAUCCGCGCCGCAUUAGCUAGUUGGUAAGGUAACGGCUUACCAAGGCAACGAUGCGUAGCCGACCUGAGAGGGUGAACCGCCACACUGGAACUGAGACACGGUCCAGACUCCUACGGGAGGCAGCAGUAGGGAAUCUUCCGCAAUGGGCGAAAGCUUGACGGAGCAACGCCGCGUGAGUGAUGAAGGUCUUCGGAUCGUAAAACUCUGUUAUUAGGGAAUAACAAAUGUGUAAGUAACUAUGCACGUCUUGACGGUACCUAAUCAGAAAGCCACGGCUAACUACGUG